GGUUAGCGGUUAUGGAUAUGUAAACCGGAGAUAUUGGCGUACAUUGAUGCGAUCAAAUGGCGUUGAAUGACACGCAAAAGGAUGAAAAUGUAUACGUAUGGGACACCAAAUGCCAUAAUAACUGGCGCAACAAUACAACACGAUUUCAUGAGAUCAGUCUACCAAUGAUACAAAGCACA